rfam:Erinaceus europaeus unplaced genomic scaffold scaffold00003, whole genome shotgun sequence
GGAUGUGAGGGCGAUCUGGCUGUGACAUCUGUCACCCCAUUGAUCGCCAGGGUUGAUUCGGCUGAUCUGGCUGGCUAGGCGGGUGUCCCCUUCCUCCCUCACUGUUCCAUGUGUGUCCCUCCCAAAGCUGUGCGCUCGGUCAAAGAGGACGGCCUUCCCCGAACAGAGACGGACCGGUCUUCGUUCGAGGGUAUACGAGUAGCUGCGCUCCCCUGCUAGAACCUCCAAACAAGCUCUCAAGAAUCCUUAUGACAUAACAGAUUUCCUAAAGAAGUAUAUAAGAACAGUAGAUUCCAACAGGACCCCCAAGAGAGAAGUACAGAAAAACCAACUACUUCAAAACUAUGUGAAU